GUAAGAUACAGAGAUCGUGUGCCCUGGAAUCAGUAAUCUAUAGCUAUUGGGAAAAAUUAGGACUCUCCUUAUGCAAGCUAUAUGCUCUAUUAGAAAUUUUUCUUCACUUGGCGGCCUCCACCUCUCAAUUACCUGAGGAUCAACUUUCAUGACAUAUAGAGGCAGAUGUGAUGGUGCGGUAUUUGUCAUUAGAGGCCCAAGCACUUCUUUCAUAGCAGUAGAAUGUUUCCAUCUGCAAGAUAUUUCUAUGCCUGCCACUAAGUUGAGAGAAGCAUAAGGGGGAGCAUCAAACACGCUACCAUAGUUCUUCAAGCCAACCAUAUAGUUUUAGAAGGAGAUUCUAGCAUGGUAGUGGGUUGGACGAGGAGGCAGCAUGGUUCGACAAGUACCCACCCACUAAUGGAUAUUUGGGGGAUAAUGGAAGAUUUGGCAGAUUUCAAGGUAACUCAUAUCUUUAGGAAAACAAAUAG
rnacentral:lncRNA from 1 species